rnacentral:misc_RNA from 1 species
UCCGGCUUGUCACCGGCGGUUUCUCCAGAGUGCCCGGCAUUACCCGAUGGCAACUGAAGAUGGGGGUUGCGCUCGUUGCGGGACUUAACCCAACAUCUCACGACACGAGCUGACGACAGCCAUGCACCACCUGUGCACUGGCCCCGAAGGGAGGCCCUAUUUCUAGGGCUUUCCAGUGCAUGUCAAGCCUUGGUAAGGUUCUUCGCGUUGCGUCGAAUUAAAGAACAUGCUCCGCUGCUUGUGCGGGCCCCCGUCAAUUCUUUUGAGUUUUAGCCUUGCGGCCGUACUCCCCAGGCGGGACACUUAAUGCGUUAGCUUCGGCACGGGAGGAGUCGACACCUCCCACACCUAGUGUCCAUCGUUUACGGCGUGGACUAC